rnacentral:rRNA from 1 species
UACGGGGGGGGCAAGCGUUGUUCGGAAUUACUGGGCGUAAAGGGCUCGUAGGCGGCCAACUAAGUCAGACGUGAAAUCCCUCGGCUUAACCGGGGAACUGCGUCUGAUACUGGAUGGCUUGAGUUCGGGAGAGGGAUGUGGAAUUCCAGGUGUAGCGGUGAAAUGCGUAGAUAUGCGGAGGAACACCGAUGGCGAAGGCAAUCCCCUGGACCUGUACUGACGCUCAUGCACGAAAGCGUGGGGAGCAAACAGG